GAUGAACGCUGGCGGCGUGCCUAAUACAUGCAAGUCGAGCGAACGGACGAGAAGCUUGCUUUUCUGAUGUUAGCGGCGGACGGGUGAGUAACACGUGGAUAACCUACCUAUAAGACUGGGAUAACUUCGGGAAACCGGAGCUAAUACCGGAUAAUAUUUUGAACCGCAUGGUUCAAAAGUGAAAGACGGUCUUGCUGUCACUUGUAGAUGGAUCCGCGCUGCAUUAGCUAGUUGGUAAGGUAACGGCUUACCAAGGCAACGAUGCAUAGCCGACCUGAGAGGGUGAUCGGCCACACUGGAACUGAGACACGGUCCAGACUCCUACGGGAGGCAGCAGUAGGGAAUCUUCCGCAAUGGGCGAAAGCCUGACGGAGCAACGCCGCGUGAGUGAAGAAGGUCUUCGGAUCGUAAAACUCUGUUAUUAGGGAAGAACAUAUGUGUAAGUAACUGUGCACAUCUUGACGGUACCUAAUCAGAAAGCCACGGCUAACUACGU
rnacentral:rRNA from 1 species